rnacentral:rRNA from 1 species
AACAAACGCUGGCGGCGUGCCUAAUACAUGCAAGUCGAACGGGGAAAGCUUUCGGGUGCGUACUAGUGGCGCACGGGUGAGUAACGCGUGGAUAAUCUGCCUUGAAGAGGGGGAUAACCAGUCGAAAGAUUGGCUAAUACCGCAUAAGACCACAGGAACUGAGGUUCUAGAGGUCAAAGGUUUUUCGCUUCAAGAUGAGUCCGCGUAAGAUUAGCUAGUUGGUGAGGUAACGGCUCACCAAGGCGACGAUCUUUAACUGGUCUGAGAGGAUGAUCAGUCACACUGGAACUGAGACACGGUCCAGACUCAUACGGGAGGCAGCAGUAGGGAAUAUUGCACAAUGGAGGAAACUCUGAUGCAGCGACGCCGCGUGAGUGAUGAAGGCCUUCGGGUCGUAAAGCUCUGUCGCAGGGGAAUAACACAAUGAAGGUACCCUGUAAGAAAGGAUCGGCUAACUUCGUGCCAGCCGCCGCCGUAACAC